AGCAAAGAAAUCCUGUGUGGACAGGAAGAGAAUUGCCACCCUAAAAGACCUGCAAAGUAGGCGUUCAUUAACUUCCUUGCAGUAGCUGGAACUCCAAGCCCAGGCUCCUGCGUGAGGCUAAAAGCGAAAGUUGGAUCAGAAACAGCCAGAGCGUAUCCUCUCCUUGGCAAACUGGAACAGCUCCACCAUCCCUUGGGAUCAUGCCCAUGGGUAUCAUGCAGAGGGGUAGAUCAGCCUUUACAACGUGGGUCUUGUGCAGUGUGGUACCCUGCCCAGCAGGUCAUUGCAGCCCAGAAAACCCCUCACUCGUUGUUGGACGUUCACUAAAAUUGCUGUGGUCAAACUGGAGCAAGCGAAAGCAAACAGUGCAAGACAGGAACGGGGAGAAGGAGGGCGGCAGAAAAGUCAUCUCAGUCUCUUGUUCCACAGACCUUUGCAGACAGUCAACUUUUUCAGCUUAGGCACAAUGAACAAGGGUUUUAGAGGUAGUUACACAUUUCAUCCUUACUCAUUCUUAAUUUACAUUGGUUUUAAUUAGAAUUACAUGCAUAAUCAUCUCUGAGGAUCUGAUCCUAUGUCCUUGAUCUUGCAGGGGAUGAAUAUAGUUUCAGCAGCUUUUUCAGAGUGCAUGUGCAGGUGCAUGAUAAUUUUCCUAAAGCUAUCAAGCAGAAAUAGUUUGUCCAUUUUCAGUUAUCACAGAAAGUUGAAGGUAAUAAAUAUAGAUACUUGUUUUGUGGAUAA